UCCUACGGGGCGCAGCAGUGGGGAAUAUUGCACAAUGGGGGAAACCCUGAUGCAGCGACGCCGCGUGAGUGAAGAAGUAUUUCGGUAUGUAAAGCUCUAUCAGCAGGGAAGAUAAUGACGGUACCUGACUAAGAAGCCCCGGCUAACUACGUGCCAGCAGCCGCGGUAAUACGUAGGGGGCAAGCGUUAUCCGGAUUUACUGGGUGUAAAGGGAGCGUAGACGGCUGUGCAAGUCUGAAGUGAAAUGCCGGGGCCCAACCCCGGAACUGCUUUGGAAACUGUACAGCUAGAGUGCAGGAGGGGGG
rnacentral:rRNA from 1 species